CAGUAGCCACGGGAAUACGGAGGGGGCUAGCGUUGUUCGGAAUUACUGGGCGUAAAGCGCACGUAGGCGGCUUGGUAAGUUAGAGGUGAAAGCCCGGAGCUCAACUCCGGAAUUGCCUUUAAGACUGCCGAGCUAGUAGGUGAGAGAGGUAAGUGGAAUUCCGAGUGUAGAGGUGAAAUUCGUAGAUAUUCGGAAGAACACCAGUGGCGAAGGCGGCUUACUGGCUCAUUCUAGACGCUGAGGUGCGAAAGCGUGGGGAGCAAACAGGAUUAGAUACCCCCGUAGUCCCUGUCUCUUAUAA
rnacentral:rRNA from 1 species